rnacentral:rRNA from 1 species
CAGCAUGGCCUUUAUGUCCUGGGCUACACACACGCUACAAUGGCCAACACAAUAGGUUGCUAAGCCGCGAGGUGGAGCCAAUCCUCAAAGUUGGUCUCAGUUCAGAUUGCAGGCUGCAACCCGCCUGCAUGAAGAUGGAGUUGCUAGUAGCCGCAGGUCAGCUAUACUGCGGUGAAUACGUUCCCGGGGCUU